rnacentral:rRNA from 1 species
UACCUACGGGGCGCAGCAGUGAGGAAUAUUGGUCAAUGGCCGAGAGGCUGAACCAGCAAUGCCGCGUGAACGAGGAAGGUCUUCGGAUCGUAAAGUUCUGUUGAAGGGGAAAAAGAGCGGAGAGAGGAAAUGGUCUCCGAUUGAUAUUACCCUUCGAGGAAGUCACGGCUAACUACGUGCCAGCAGCCGCGGUAAUACGUAGGUGGCGAGCGUUAUCCGGAAUGACUGGGCGUAAAGGGUGCGUAGGCGGCCUGCUAAGUCUGGAGUGAAAGGUACCGGCUCAACCGGUACAGGCUCUGGAAACU